GACAUAACCUCGAACUUUUUGUGGGAGU
rnacentral:sRNA from 1 species